GUGUCAGCAGCCGCGGUAAUACAGAGGGUGCAAGCGUUAAUCGGAAUUACUGGGCGUAAAGCGUGCGUAGACGGUUAUGUAAGUCGGGUGUGAAAGCCCCGGGCUCAACCUGGGAAUGCCAUUCGAGACUGCAUAGCUAGGGUGCGGAAGAGGGAAGCGGAAUUUCCGGUGUAGCGGUGAAAUGCGUAGAUAUCGGAAGGAACACCAGUGGCGAAAGCGGCUUCCUGGUCCAGCACCGACGUUCAGGCACGAAAGCGUGGGGAGCAAACAGGAUUAGAUACCCUGGUAGUCC
rnacentral:rRNA from 1 species